AGUCCUGCCUAUAACUCCUGCCUAACUAUUGGCUUUUUAUUACACCAAUCACAGCAAUACACCUUCACACAGUGUACAACUAUCCAUGACAGAAUAUAUUACUUUUCUCAGGAAGAUGUGAACUCAUAUCUAUUCAUCCAGAAAAGUUACCGAUGACAGACCAAAGAAUUGACUCCACCUCAGAUCUAACUUAAUGACCAGGAGGUUUAUUGAUGUAACUUAACAGGAGUAUGGAUAAGGAAUGACUUAUCUGCCCACAGAUGACUCAAAGGAGGCAGCUACGUCAUCCAAAGCACACUGCAUGGGUGAGGAUUCAUGGAAGAUGAGUCACUGGAGUUCCCUGUACAGCUUGCAGGCAACUUACCACCCCCAUUCCCCCACCCCAUCCCUCACCACCCCCCUAUCCCCACCAGCAAGUGCUUAAAUGACCUCAGGGAGGCCCUGACUUGUAGGUUUCAUGAGCUUCCUUAGCCUCCUAUUGGCAAGCUUUCAACCCCCUCUCUCCUCCUGGAAGAAACAGCUGUAGGACACAUACCCAGAGACUGAGAAGCCAUGGGCUGGAGGAAGAAUCAGUGCCCGGAAUUUGUGGCACAAACAGUACAUCAAUUUCCCUGGCAAGAGAAACUGGCUUUGUUCGUGCCAGUGAGGUUCAGAAGAGCUGGCAGGACACGCGGUGAUGACUAAGUCAUGGUUCCCCGGCAAGCUGGGGGUGGUGCCAGAGGGAGAGUGCUUUGUGAACUGGUCAGGCAGUGCCUGGUAGAUGAGUGGGUGACCAUUAGCCUCUUCUACCAGAGCAGAUGGGGGCAGGGGCGGGUGGGGGCAUGAGGUGCCAGGAUGUUGGCUUUCAGUAUGAGAUCCCUUUUUUUUUUUGAGAUCCCCUUUUUAAUGUGUUUGUUUUCAUCACUAACCAAAAGUUAGUGAUGCUAACUGUGCUCUGCCCACCCCAAUUCCCCAUCAAGCUCGCCCUGUAGCAGAUCGUGGCUGUGGCUCACCCUCGCCGUGUGUAUUGAAUAAUUAAGCUUUCCUAUUUAAGACAAGGGGUUACUCUGUUUUCCAUUUCAAAGAUUGUAGGCUACAAUGGGUACAAAGUAAGUCCAAUGCUAGCCUACACUACCCAGUCUCAAAAAGAAAAAGAAACUAUGUAAGCUACCCUGCUUCUCCUAUUUUGGCUUCCUGAUUGUGCCAGCCUUAUCAUAAAGGUAACAUACAUCAUUGGUAUAUUUGUUUGUUCGUUUAAAUCAGGAUCUUAUUUUGUAACCUGAGUUACAAACCUCAAACUCACUAUCCUCUUGCCUCGCUCCACAAUAUUGAGAUUACUACUGUGCGCCACCAUGCCCUCUUCUUGUUGUUCUAUUUUCAAAGAAAUAUGUAUCAGUUGAUCUUAUAGUAAUACAAAAGUUAAGGGAAAGUGUCCUCUGAAAUUUGGUGGGAAUAAAGACUAAGUAAAGGUUAAA